GAUUUUGCAAGUACAGGUGAUAAAGAUUCAUGAUUUGGCUGCGCGCAUGCUUGCUGGCUGGAGGAGUUUGAUUCAUUACUUGAUGGCCUCAAAAUGGAUACAAGAUCUGUUGGAAUCAAGAAGGCGUUAAGGGAAUUUAAAUUAUGUCUGAUCUGUACCGGGACGACGCCGACAGUAAAAGGAACUAAGGAAGGGUUCUCGAGGUCUGCUCCUUCUCCACCGGUAGAGAGGAGCCUCCUUCUCAUGAUUCGCCUGUCUGCCCCGGCCCUCCCCGGCUAGAGCUGACGCCA